rnacentral:rRNA from 1 species
UAGCAGUAGGGGAAUCUUCCACAAUGGACGAAAGUCUGACGGAGCAACGCCGCGUGAGUGAUGAAGGCUUUCGGGUCGUAAAACUCUGUUGUUAGGGAAGAACAAGUGCUAGUUGAAUAAGCUGGCACCUUGACGGUACCUAACCAGAAAGCCACGGCUAACUACGUGCCAGCAGCCGCGGUAAUACGUAGGUGGCAAGCGUUAUCCGGAAUUAUUGGGCGUAAAGCGCGCGCAGGUGGUUUCUUAAGUCUGAUGUGAAAGCCCACGGCUCAACCGUGGAGGGUCAUGGAAACUGGGAGACUGAGUCAGAAAGAAAG